CGGAGAGUGGCGCAGCCUGGUAGCGCACCUGCUUCGGGAGCAGGGGGUCGCAGGUUCGAAUCCUGUUUCUCCGACCA
rnacentral:tRNA from 2 species